UCGAACGCUGGCGGCGUGUUUAACACAUGCAAGUCGCACGGAGGAUAUUUUAUAGCAAUAUACGAUAUUCUCAGUGGCGCACGGGUGAUUAACACGUGAAUGACAUGCCCUAUAGAGGGGGAUAGCCCAGGGAAACUUGGAUUAAUACCCCAUAGUAUCGCGAGAUUAACCGUGGCCGCUUGCUGUCCCUAUAGGAUUGGUUCGCGUUCUAUCAUCUUGUUGGUGAGGUAAUGGCUCACCAACGCUACGACGGAGACCUGGUCUGACAAGACGAUCAGGCACACUGGAACUGAGACACGGACCCCACCCCUACGGGUGGCAGCGGUCUAUAAUAAUUCACAAUGGGGGCAACCCUGAUGGUGCAACGCCCCGUGGAAGAUGACUGUCUUCGGAUUGUAAACUCCUGUCAUCUGGGAGUAAGGCAUGGUGUUAAUAACACACAUGAUUGAUACUACCAAAAGAGGAAGGGACGGCUAACUUCCUGCCACCACCCGCGGUAAUACGAAGGUCCCGAGCGUUGUUCUGACUCACUGUGCGUAAAGGGAGCGUAGGCUGCGUGGCAAGUCAUAUGUGAAAUCCCGGGGCUCAACCCCGGAACUGCAUCCCAUACUGCCGUGCUAGAGAGCUAGAGAGGCAACUGGAAUUCUCGGUGUAGCAAUGAAAUGCAUGUAUAUCGAAACGAAGAUCAAUGACGAAAGCCCGUUGCUGGACAGUAUCUGACGCUCACGCUCGAAUGCUAAGGGAGCGAAAGGGAUUAGAUACCCAUGUAGUCGUAGCAGUCACCGGUGUGCGUGUGGUGUGAGGGGAAUCGACCCCCCUUGUGCGGGAGCUAACGCGUUAAGCGCACCGCCUGCGAAGUACGGUCGCAAGACUAAAACUCAAAGAAAUUGACGGGGACCCGCACAAGCGGUGGAGUAUGUGGCUUAUUUAGAUGCAACGCGAAGAACCUUCCUUAGGCUCGACAUGCAUCUCCAAGCGCGUGAAAGCGCGUGACCCUUCGGGGGAUUUGCCCAGCUGCCGCAUGGCGGUCGUCAGCUCGUGUCUUGAGAUGUUGGGUUAAGUCCCGCAACGAGCGCAACCCUUGUGCUUAGUCGCCAGCACGUAAAGGUGGGAACUCUAGACAGACUGCCCAGAUCAACUGGGAGGAAGGUGGGGACGACGUCAGGUCAGUAUGGCCCUUACGCGUAGGGCUGCACACGUAAUACAAUGCCCAGUACAAUGAGAGCCGAGACCGCGAGGUGGAGGAAAUCCGCAAAACUCGGUUCAGUUCGGAUUGGAGGUUGCAACUCGCCUCCAUGAAGUUGGAAUCGCUAGUAAUGGCGCAUCAGCUACGGCGCCGUGAAUACGUUCCCGGGUCUUGCACUCACCGC
rnacentral:rRNA from 1 species